GCCUCCGUAGCUCAAUUGGCAGAGCAGGGCACUCUUAAUGCCGAGGUUUUCGGUUCGAGUCCGAACGGGGGCA
rnacentral:tRNA from 1 species